ACACCUCGAGUACUGUGUCCAGUUUUGGGCCCCUCACUGUAAGAAAGAUAUCAAGGCCCUGGAGCAUGUCCAGAGAAGGGCAACAAAGCUGAUCCUAUCAGUCCCUGAGCUAAGGGUCAAACCUGAAAUCUGAGAACACAAGUGUGCUGUGAGCUCCCAUUCUCAUCACUGUUUUUCAUCCACUAUUGACCUAUCCAUGGACAACUGUCAUGUGAAAGAGAGAGAAAAACUAGGAAUAAAUCAAGACUUCUAUGGUGAAGAAGGGAAAAAGAAGUAGAGAGUACAAGACAUCCCUGAAAAGGUAGAAAGCUACAUGUAAAGAACAUAAUUUUAAAAGACGUAUUUAAUGCUAUUAUUAAACAGUAUACUAACAGUCUACUAGUUGAAUAAUUAAGAGUUCAUAAAUAGUUAUCCAAUUGUUUGCAUAUGUGUAUACUUGUUUAAGAACAAGCAUAUAUUUAAUUGCUUUGAAAGCACUGGCAAUAUGUCUGCAGUUCCUUAGAAAUGAGGACUAGAGCAUGCCAUAACAUUGCUCCACUUCAGAUAUGGAAUAUCCUUCUUUUGCCACUGAGAUACUUUCAGAAUCAUUUACAUACACAGGACCUUAAAAUGAAUCAAAUUGUGAAAGACUGUAUUUCUUUUCUUUGUCCUGGUUAGCAAUUUGAGUUUUUGCCAUUAUUUGAAUGAGGAAACGUCUC
ensembl:lncRNA